rnacentral:rRNA from 1 species
UACAGAGGUCCCAAGCGUUGUUCGGAUUCAUUGGGCGUAAAGGGUGCGUAGGUGGCGCCGUAAGUCAGGUGUGAAAUUUCGGAGCUUAACUCCGAAACUGCAUUUGAUACUGCGGUGCUUGAGGACUGGAGAGGAGACUGGAAUUUACGGUGUAGCAGUGAAAUGCGUAGAGAUCGUAAGGAAGACCAGUGGCGAAGGCGGGUCUCUGGACAGUUCCUGACGCUGAGGCACGAAGGCCAGGGGAGCAAACGGG